rnacentral:lncRNA from 1 species
AGUAACCCAGCAGGCUUUCGCUGAAAUUCCAAAAUAGGAUGCUUCAGGUUUGCAUUUGAGUGGAUCCCCAUGUAGAGUUAAGAGAUGUGACAAUUCUUCACAGCAGUUUGUUCUUCUGAUUUUUGUGACUUGCGGUAGAAUUUUCCAACAGGUUCCAUUCAUAGUAUGUGAUGUCAAGCCCUGAGUGAGUCCUGAAGGAUAUUGGCUUCUAGAGCAAUAUAUGUAUAUGAUGGUUGUUGCCCUGUGUUUGCCAUGAAAGUCGAUAAAUACAGCUCUCCAACCCCUGUGAAACUUUUGGGGUUUGCGUCCUUCACCGAGCUCAAACAUACAUUAUAGGGUGAAGAACACAUCCCUGACCCAUGGGAAAGAAGCCUUCCUGUCGAAUGGGUAAGGGAAACACAGCAGCAGACUCCAGACCAUGUGUAAACCCAUAAAUAACUAAAGUGAAAGCUGAUUUAAAGCAGAUGGAAUCAAAGCUCCAUUUAAACACUGGUGGAUGGGAGAGAAAAUAGGUGUGUUCACUGUAUCUUUAAAAAAAUUGAAUGAUGUCAGCUAUGUAUUAAAGGUAUAAAUAAAUGCUAUUUAUCAG